rfam:Ciona savignyi cont_45658, whole genome shotgun sequence.
UACCUGGUUGAUCCUGCCAGUAGUCAUAUGCUUGUCUCAAAGAUUAAGCCAUGCAAGUCUAAGUACGAGCUCUCGUACAGUGAAACUGCGAAUGGCUCAUUAAAUCAGUUAUGGUUCAUUUGAUCGUACAGUUUACUUGGAUAACUGUGGUAAUUCUAGAGCUAAUACAUGCGAGAAGCGCCGACCUCGCGGGAGGCGUGCAUUUAUCAGACCAAAAACCGGCCGCGUCUUCGGGCGCGUUCGCCUUGGUGACUCUGGAUAACUUUGCGGAUCGCACGGUCUAGCACCGGCGACGGAUCAUUCAAGUGUCUGCCCUAUCAACUUUCGUCGGUACGGUAUUUGCCUACCGAGGUUCCUACGGGUGACGGGGAAUCAGGGUUCGAUUCCGGAGAGGGAGCCUGAGAAACGGCUACCACAUCCAAGGAAGGCAGCAGGCGCGCAAAUUACCCAUUCCCGACGCGGGGAGGUAGUGACGAAAAAUAACAAUGCAGGACUCGUUCGAGGCCCUGUAAUUGGAAUGAGUACACUUUAAAAGCUUUAACGAGUAUCCAUUGGAGGGCAAGUCUGGUGCCAGCAGCCGCGGUAAUUCCAGCUCCAAAAGUAUAUAUUUAAGUUGUUGCGGUUAAAAAGCUCGUAGUUGGAUUUUGGGCGCAGGCGGCCGGUCCGUCGCAAGGCGUGUACUGGACGUCCUGGCCUUCCCUCCGGUUCUCCGCCGGUGCUCUUGACUGAGUGUCGGCGGCGGCCGGAACGUUUACUUUGAAAAAAUUAGAGUGUUCAAAGCAGGCUCUCGAGCCUGGAUAAUGGUGCAUGGAAUAAUGGAAUAGGACCUCGGUUCUAUUUUGUUGGUUUUCGGAGCGCGAGGUAAUGAUUAAGAGGGACAGACGGGGGCAUUCGUACUGUGCCGUUAGAGGUGAAAUUCUUGGAUCGGCGCAAGACGAACGACUGCGAAAGCAUUUGCCAAGAAUGUUUUCUUUAAUCAAGAGCGAAAGUCAGAGGUUCGAAGACGAUCAGAU